rnacentral:rRNA from 1 species
UACGUAGGGUGCGAGCGUUAAUCGGAAUUACUGGGCGUAAAGCGUGCGUAGGCGGUUCGUUAAGUCAGCUGUGAAAGCCCCGGGCUCAACCUGGGAAUUGCAUUGAAUACUGGUGGACUAGAGUACUGGAGAGGAAACUGGAAUUUACGGUGUAGCAGUGAAAUGCGUAGAGAUCGUAAGGAAGACCAGUGGCGAAGGCGAGUUUCUGGACAGUAACUGACGCUGAGGCACGAAGGCCAGGGGAGCAAACGGG